CCCGCGGUAUUUGCAUCAUUACAGUUGGGUAGUCCCGUGGUAUUUGCAUCAUUACAGUUGGGUAGUCCCGCGGGGUUUGCAUCAUUACAGUUGGGUAGUCCCGCGGUAUUUGCAUCAUUACAGUUGGGUCGUGCAGACCCAGAGUCCCGGGCACCCGGACAACCGAACUGUCCAACUCUGAAAAUGCAAAUAUUCUUUAAUGGGUUGACCUAAAUACAAGUGAUUCUUCCACCAUACCGUGUGAACAUGUUUGAAAGAAGCUUUUUAUAUGUCUUGCUAGAGGCACCUUAAACAUUGCAGGAUUUCUACUGUCACACAAGCAUUUCUUCAAAGAAGGGGAAGAAGUGCAAACUGCAUACGUUUGAGUUUCAGCAUGAUAAGGAAACAAUGUAUGCAUGGAAUUGCCGUUUGCAUGGCAUAUUUAUUUCAUAGCAAAACAACUUCAAAUCUUAUGGAAAUUGGAGACUGUCAGAUUUGAUCUGUGAUGUAUAAAAAAAAAGCACCUGACAAAAAGUAGGAAUUUAAAAUAUUUUGACUUCUGUUGAGGAAUGUUACAAAAUGAUAGUUUACAUUUCAAACCUUUUAAAUAUUGUAUUAACUGAAAACUGAUACGGGACAACAUUUUGACUAUUUUUGCUAAAUGAGUACUUGUACUGAUUUUGUGGGAGCACGUGUCCUAGAUGUAAACCUAAUGUUGUUAAUAUUAAAAUCAGUAAGUGUCUCCUCUUUUUGUUUUAAGAGUGCUGUCUUGAGUGUCCUUUCAGAAAGGGCUUACCCUUAAAGAAUGCACAAGAGGUAGCCCUGCAGGCACAUACAAAGAUGUAUAAUAUUAAUAAAACAGCGUUUGCAUUGCUGGGAUCCUUAUUGCAUAGGGACCCCUUCUCAGGGAUGGGAAUAAGACUCCCAUUGCAUAGCAGUCUGAUCCAUUCCUGGUUCUACAAGGAGGUUAAUCAGACACACCUGAGCUUGUUACCUAUACACUGUGCCUAAUCAGGGACGUAUUAAAACCUGGAAUGGAUGAAACUGCUAUACAGUAGGAGUCUUAUUUCCAGCCCUGUUUUCUGGAUCAGUGCAGGUUUGCAGAGCUAUGAUUCCUGUUGCAUCUGGAUUGCAAUCUCAGUAGGCGCGGGACUGCUGACAGUGCAAACAGCAAAUAAAACGAGAGAGCGCUUGGAAGAGGCUCUUUGGAGUCCAAGACGUUAACAGCUUUGUGGAGUGGGCAGGAAGCAAUGCAAACUAUUGGGAGAAUGUUUUUUUAUAUAUGGCUGUGUCUGUGCUCACUUUAAUGGAAGGGCAAGAGGUGGCAAGUAGUUAUGACUACUAAUCAGGGGACCUGUCUGUGCUGUAUUGUGUGUUGCAAUGCAAGUAGUUAUGACUACUAAUCAGGGGACCUGUCUGUGCUGUAUUGUGUGUUGCAAUGCAAGUACUCACACAACGCAUUUUUACACCAAGCGUCAUUAAUGCACAGUAAUCCACCCACCCAAGAACAGCACGGCCCGCACUGUUACUACAUGAUGAAGGAAAGAUGUGCUGUACAGUCUAUGUUCUAUAACCAUGUGAACAAUAAUUACACAUAGAGUGAAACUGUCUGUGUUUCCCACUGCAUGAGGUAUGCUGGCUGCCGCUUUCCAUUGCUGGAAACCCUUUGCAUGGUUUGCACAGUCUCAUCUGAGAUCAAACCCAAACGCUUUUAUAUAUACAAAAAACUGAGCAAAUAGAAAUGUAGAAAACUGCAUUGCCUAACCUCUUGUAACUGUAAUGGUAAUCCCUCAGGUAAAGGCAGCGCAGCCUGGGCUUACCCAUUGUGUCCAGUUUUGUUGGUUUUGGUGUCUGUUGCUGCCAGCAGCCCCAGGGAAAAAUGAGGUCUCUCCAAAAUGUCAGCUCUAGUGCACUGGGGUUUGAGAUCUGUCCUCUAAAUCACUGCAGGAAGAGCGAUUAAAAAAUAAAAAAAAAGCAUAACAAGUGCUCUGGCUUUUCUGUUCCGUACCACAUCAUGGAUCAUUAUUGCUGUUACCUGUUUGACAGUGUGGGCAGUAAUCCUUACACUACCAGUGCACUAGAGUGGACAUUUUGAAAAGAUCUUUGAAACAGAGUUUAAAAUUGUAAAUGUCAGGGUGUUAACAAUGAACAGAGUAAUGACCGGCGCGUUAUUGAAACAGUGUAGCAACACGUGGGGACGUGGUACGCUAUAUUUAAACAGUUGUAGCAGCAUGUGGGGAUGCGGGACGCUAUAUUUAAACAGUUGUAGCGGGACGUGGGACGCUAUAUUUUUCUCGGAACACCCUACUUAUUCUUUAAGUGCUCAAAGGUAGCCUGUUUUUAAUUUUGUAACAUUAAGAUCAAGUUUUCCUCUUUUCAAUAAAUACAGACUGGAUGGAGCACACGGUUUGAGAGUGGGCUCUUCAGCUGUCAGUGUGUGAGCGUGAGUGUGUGUCCUGUAAUUUAUUCCUUCAUAUCCUCGCUCUUUUCAAGCAGCGCUGUGUUUUCAUUAGCUUUGUCUGAACUGCAUCUUUCACUCAGGAAAUACAUGAGAAGAAAGUAAAAUGAAAGUAAAAACAAGCUCCCAAAAAGUGAAAUGCCGCUGUGGCAGUGCUUGAAAGCUGUGAGGAAGUGCUUGUCACUGGAAUUGUCUAGAAGCCGGUGGACAGGGUGGCCUGCGCCACUCACACAAUCCUCGUGGGUAAGAGGCCGCCCUCGCUCCACAGCCGCUGUGUGACAUUAAGAAGGGUGGGAGAUGUGUUACACUGCAAACAUACCUCAGCUUUCUACAAUGUCACCCCGUUCUGUUAAUACUGGACCAGUGGAAUAACUCAACUAAACAAAUGUGGGAAUACCCUUAUAAGAGUUUACCACAGUAAUGCACGGUCAUUUAGCGGUUUCCCCUAAUGCUUUUGUCAUGGUUAUACAAUGCACUUACCAUAGUUUACCAGGUUUUUUUAUUAAGGUUUGCCAUGCCUCUCUGUUCUUUACAAUGCUAACCCAUGCUUUACCAUGCUUUCACUGUGCUUUAUUACACUUUGCUGUGCUUUUAUAAGGGAGGGCACAUUGUGUUUCUUGUUUCUGUUCCAGUUGUUGUUCUGUUGCAGUUGUGGGAAUAAUUACCGAUUGAGCUGAACCAUCGUACUGUAAAUAGAAAGAGAAUAAAGAAGCUAUUCUGCCAUGGCUGCUUAUUGAUUUAAACAUGUGGAAAGAAUAGGUUGCCAACUGAGACUGCUUGAGGCCCCUGGCAACAAUGUAGAGUAAAAUGUAAUUGUGUCAAUAUGGGGGUUUGCUUUUUCACCGUGUCUGUGUAAGUGUGAAAGAAUCAUGACAGACUUACGCUUGUUAAAAUCACUCGCUACUUGAUUGGAACGUAAGCGUUAUCAUGUGUUGCAAACAAAGCCGUAGUGUUUUGUUCAGGGAACACAAAGACACUUUGUGGCUUUGAAUGUGGUUUCAGGAGACCAGGCUUCAGGCCACUGCAUGGCACACCAAACUAGGUCUCCCUACUCCUGAAAGCGUGCCUUCGUGUUCCCUCGGCUUCAGUCCAAGAUGCAAUGGUAACUCUGUUUUAUCAUCACACCACUUGUAAGAAUGGUAUGACCCAGUACGCUGUUGCUGCGUUUCCAUGUCUAAGGAAUCAAUAUUUCCCAUGCUUCUGAACUCCCUGCAUGCAUCUGAUUUAAUAAAACUCAGAUUUCAGGAGGAAUCUGACUCACAUGCUGGAUAUUUGCUGGAUUUAAGUAUCGACUCCCAAAAUCUGUAGCUGGAAACGAAGGAAUGUAAAACAUCAUCCACAAGAUUAGAAAUGCAAAAAAUACCAGGAUUUUUUGUUUGAGUGUCUUCAAGUCAUGUUCAUUUUGUUUGCACAUAACAUGUGCUUGUUUUCCAUGCUUUUAAAAUGGAAUCUGUCAGUGCAAUAACAUAUCACCUCAAUUUACCAAAGACCUGUCAGCAAGCGGAUUACAUGGUCCAUAUACCAGUAGAGCUCUAUUAGUCAAGGUAGUUGUGGUGCCCAGUCCAGUCAACUCCUUGGGAAACGUCUCUGUUUCAAAGACGCUAAACAUGUCAAGUGUGUGCACUGAUCACUUUAAUUACAAUGCUGCCAGUCAGCCAUUCCUACCAUAGCACAUCGAUACAGGCUCAUGAUAUUGACGCUUGUUUUGGGAAGGGCUAAUACAAUAGUGGAUGAUAAGACACAUCAAUAAUUAGCUUCAAGGUGUUGGCACUCCUGUGAUGUACUGGAAUCCUAGGCUCUGCCAUGCUGACUCGCACCUGUGUUCAGCUGCAUUGGUUUUGGGUUGGGAUUCUCUUCAGCCGCAUUGGUUCUGUUGGCUCAGAUUGGGUUCAGCUUUGUUGGGACCAUUGUUAUAAGAAGUUAUUGCACGGUAUAAUUGCACUGUGCAAAUCAGCUCAGUGACAACAAGGAAAGAUGUAGUCUAGGAAUUUGCUACAGGACUACAACCCCCAGAAUACCUUGGGGGUGCUGAUUGGACAGUGAGCCUAUAAUGAGAUGCACCUGUCUGUGAUUAAGCAUGCAGGUGUAUAUAUGGCUGGUCAGGACAGCUUGAUUGCUGUCUGCGUGAAGGCUAAGGCCUGGGUGAAGCCUGGGGGUUUUCAGACCUAAAAGGUACGGUAAUACUUUUAUGAUAUUUAGUCACCGGUAAACAGCGUAGCCGUCCGGUUUAUACAGUAGUUAAAAAUAGGUAAAAGUUUAGUUAGUUAGUUAGGUUAGGGUUAGGGUUAGUUUGUUUUAUUUUGUGUUUUGAAAAUAAAUAUACAGGCACUGCCCUGUUUUCAACGUAUCUGUGGUCCAGAGUGUUUCUUUUACACAAGAAGACUGUGAAAAGGUCCCGGAAGUGGCAGAACGAUCCCCGAAGCGCUCCACAAGCAGAAAGACAUGAUGUUAUUGUUCAGCGUGCCAGUGCUCCCUGAACUGGGCUGUGAUUCCGCUGGUCUGCUAACAAGCAAUGUCAGACUGCCUGCAUGUGUUGCAAUGGACAUUGCGACUGUGUCUGACAUCUCGCUUGUCAUUUCAACACAUGGGGACACUUUGGAUGAGUGUUUAAAAUAUGAAAACUAUGCAGCCUGAAGUGGUUGGGUUCAGAGGGACUGAGCUGUGGGAGAAAUGCCCUGCCUUGCGCACAGAUUCCUGGCUGUCAUUUGGAGUCGAUGGGCGUGUUGUAAGAUAAAGAUUCAGAUGAGGCCGUUUAAAAACAUUUUACUGCUGUAGCUGGAAGGAAAAGGAGAGUUUUUUUUUCUUCUUCAUAAUGAAAAGAAGCCAGUGUUUGCAGUGAAAACGAAGCAUGCAAUACGAGCAUCAGAUUUACUUUGGGCUACUCCACACAUUCCUAUUCAUCAUUACGUUAGGCAAUGCAAUUCCGUCUCUUCUUGAUGGGCAGGGGAAGUGGGCAGCCUGCCAGGUAGAUGUUGCCAUGGCACCCAGCCCCCUGAAGGUGAUGCAUUUUCUUUUUCUUUUUUUUUUCGAGCUGGGCUGAGCUUAGGUUCUGAAUCAGACAAUAGACUCCUUCGCAAUGUCAGCAGAAUGGUUUAUGGGAAUGCACUCUGCUGCUGCCAGGGAGUCACAUGACCUUACGGCUGAGAUUUUGCUCUGGUGCCAGGAGAGCGAGAGAGAGGGGGAGAGAGAGAGAGCGAGAGAGAGAGAGAGAGAGAGAGAGAGAGAGAGAGGAACUUGGAAAGCAAUGCCUGUGAAAGACUUCUUAAUUCUUUUUUUUUUCCUCGCAUUGCUCAGAAAAUGGCGGAUCAUACAGCAGUGACUUUGCCCCGACUCAGCAAGCAGUAGAGCUCAAACUCGACUACGCCUUUAUUCUGGCUUUUUUUUUUUUUUUUUUGGCAAGCCACCAGGAUUCUGGCCCUUUUCACACCAGAUAAACCCUGCUGCUUAUCUGCAAAUACAAAAAAAAAAAAAAGAAAGGUUAUAAAGGAUAUUUAGACUACAAGAAAAAAAAAACUGAAUAUCCGGGCUCCUGUUUAUCGAUAGCUCGGUUCCAAAACUGUCUUUUGUGAGGCAGAAGAACAAAAAGUUUGCAAGUGUCUCAUGGCGUUGGGCAACUGGGGUAACUGGACUGAACAUGAGCUCCUCGCAGCACAUUGAAGCCAACUGGCACCCGCCUUGCUCACACCCUCGCUUCAGCACAUUUGUGCACGCCAUGUUUUACAAGAAUCAGCGCUGCUUUGGUUAGCGGCGGCCGUUUCUCUCACCGGCACUCCUGUGCAGGCACUUGCGGUGAGGAUUGGUGCAGCUUUUGCGCAGUGAUUUGUGCUCAGAAUUCUGACUAGUGAAGAAAAUCAGGAGGAGAGUGCUGGAGAAAGUGAGAGAAUACCCCUGAUCCCUCACAUCCCCGAUGAGGUGCAGCAGAGUUUUCUGGGACCGUACAUUUUCAAAGUGAAAAAGGUAAAGAGUGAUAUUCAAAGUUAGCAUUAUUUGUAUAAGACUUCAUUUGGAACGCCUCCCUCAUGAGGCAGUAUAGUUUCUACCCAUACAUACAAGUUAUGGACACACACUUAACUUCAUAACGUAUUGUUCAGGAUUUUACAUUAUGAUCCAGCACUUUGCAAUCACCCUGCAUACUGCAUCCAGAUGUUUUCAAAUCAGCUGCCUAGUACGUGUGCUCAAUGCAUCUUACUUUAACAAGGUCUGUGUCUGUAUACAAGCCAGCAGUAAUGUUAGCCCUGGAUGGAAAGCUUCUCACUAUAAUCUCUAUGCAUGUGCUGUACUCUGUGCUGUAUCUUUUGUACAGCUUUAUUAUUUUUAGCCCCCAUGUACCGUUGUUAAAUAUUCUUUUGCCUUCUUCCUUACAAUAAAGACACGCUGCGAUGCAGGAGACACGUUUCUUUCUCUUUCUUUCUUGAGCCCCGACUUGUUUGUUUCUGAUUUGGUCACUUUGUUGGGUGUGUUUUUGCUUUCUGAAAAAUAAAAAAAAGCGUGCUAAUGAAGAUUUGGAUGAAAUUGCUUUGAGAAUCUAGCCCUUAUGGCUGGGCUUUUAGUAGAACAACAGCUCCUGUCUGUCUUUUACAAUGUACAGUAGAACAGCUCCUGUCUGUCUUUUACAAUGUACAGUAGAAUAGCUCCUGUCUGUCUUUUACAAUGUACAGUAGAACAGCUCCUGUCUGUGUUUCUUAAACUGCAUCGUUUUCUUUCUUGUGUAUUAUUCUCUGGCCCUCCACUUCCAAAGCCCCUACAUUUCUUUUUUGCAAAUCCAAACCCUAACCCUAAACCAAACCCUUUUCUUUUUCUUUUUAAAAACAAAAGGAAAUCUUUUUUUAAAUAGACUGAACUAUAUUAACUCCAAUGCAAUGCAACACACUUCAUGAUUUGUAAAACGGAUACGUACCAGUUAAGAGAUAUGGGGCCGGGUUUUUUCCUCUUGUGAGAUGUAAAUCUAAUGACUUGGCUUUGCUUCAUUUGUGAGUAAUACAGUGUUUGGUAAUACAGUGUUUAGUAAUACAGUGUUUAGUAAUACAGUGUUUAGUAAAUGUAUUGUCCAGUUUUACAGCUUUCCUACCUCGCAAGACACUGAAACAGCCAGCUGACAUGCAGGGACCCACCCACAGGAAGUGACAUUGGCUAAAAGAAAACAUUAAGAACCAUAAAACACAAGGCUGUGCCGCGGCUUUCAAACUGGCGUCCAUGGAAUCUACUCCAGCCAUUCCCACCUGCAGAGAGGACCCAGCCCUGUUUGUAUUUUUUUUAUAAAUGUUUACCACAGUAAAAACACAGCAAAGUGUAAUAAAGCAUUGUGCAAGCAUGGUAACGCGUAGGGUAAGUAUAGUAAAGAAUAGCGAGGUAUGGUAAAGCACAUUAAGAGACAUGGCAAACCAGGGUAGUCUAUGGUAACUGCAGAGUAUAAGAAUGGGGAAAAGCAUGGGAAAACUGCAAGCAUACAGCACACAAAAGACAGAACUCCCACAGCGACCCUCUCCUGAGUGGAGGAGACACACAUGGAGCCCAGUGCAGCGUUCUCUGCUCUGCAGCAUUCCAAUCUCUGUGAUUGGCUUUCAGCCUUGCUGGGACUGUUUCAGCUGUCUGGAUGGGUUUCAUUGCUGUCCAUGUAUACUGCUGCCCUGUAUGUGUAUUGUUAUUCCAGUUUCAUGUUUGUACACGUGUGAAAUGUGUGUCACGUGACUAGAACUGAUAGGGAAGAAAGCAGUGUUGGUGUUAAAGAAGUCGAAACCUAUUUUCCAUUGCUGCAUGAUUACACGUAUAUAUAUACACACACACACACACACACACUGUGUAUAUAAUCUGCAACGCUUACAUAAAAUGUAUACAGCAAACCCACAGAUAAUUGCUUACUGUGGACUAUUCUUAAAAUGCACAGGAGGAUCAAAUGAAGACCAGAUGAAGAGAGCAUGUCCAAGGUAAGAAAGAAAAGCUGUCAGUUUCUCUAGUUGGAGACGCAUGUACAGUGUUGUUUGUUCCCCUGUUUUCUGUUGUCAGGGGAGAGCGAGCCUCUCUUCCAGUGGGAGAGGAAUUCAGCUGCUGCAGAUAUAAUCCAUCUCCCUGUCACACGCACAGCGUUAUUGGGAGACCACCAGACACAGUCUGAUUGCUGCAGAUUGUACCAGAAUACUAAUACGCUCCCGCUGGCUUCCUCCUGAACGCUAACAAAAAAACAUUACCAGAAACAAGCUGCUUUUUGUAGACUUGGAAAUCAAAACACAGAUGUGGAGGAGAAGAUGAUUUAGGAUUGCAGACCAUUUGAAAUGAAACAUCAAUGCCACUCCCCUCAUGUGUCAGAGUAAACAAAGCUCCCUUCAUUUCAGUAUAUAACACAUUGCAGUGCAGUCUGGGGUCUGUAUGGACAGGACAAGGGGACGAUCCCCAAACCCUAACCCUAACCCCCCCCCCCCCCGUGUGUCAGAGUAAACAAAGCACAUUGCAGUGCAGUCUGGGAUUAUGAUAUUCCAAUAACAAUAACACAGACUGUACAGCUCAUAACCUGUUCAUGAUAUUCUAAUAAUAAUAAACUGUACAGCUCAUAACCUGUU